rnacentral:rRNA from 1 species
CCUACGGGGGGCAGCAGUGGGGGAUAUUGCACAAUGGGCGGAAGCCUGACCCAGCAACGCCGCGUGAAGGAAGAAGGCUCUCGGGUUGUAAACUUCUUUUAUCAGGGACGAAGCAAGUGACGGUACCUGAUGAAUAAGCCACGGCUAACUACGUGCCAGCAGCCGCGGUAAUACGUAGGUGGCAAGCGUUAUCCGGAUUUACUGGGUGUAAAGGGCGUGUAGGCGGGAAAGCAAGUCAGAUGUGAAAACCAUGGGCUCAACCUGUGGACUGCAUUUGAAACUGUUUUUCUUGAGUACUGGAGAGGCAGACGGAAUUCCUAGUGUAGCGGUGAAAUGCGUAGAUAUUAGGAGGAACACCAGUGGCGAAGGCGGUCUGCUGGACAGCAACUGACGUUGAGGCGCGAAAGCGUGGGGAGCGAACAGGAUUAGAUACCCGGGUAGUC